GGAAAUAAGUGGUUUUCUGGGUUCGGAGUCAAUGUUACUAUUAUUUUCACUAUGUUUGUUCAUUUUAUUUCUUUUGCUCUAUUAUUAUUAUUUUUUUUAUUUUUAAGCUCGGGUUUUUCUUUGCUAUUCUUGUUUUUCAACUGAGUGUCUUUCUUUGGCCAGUGCUUCUUUUGAACCCUCGAGUUUAUUUUCUUUUCUCUUUUUUUUCUCGAAGAUUCUCUUAAUUUUUUUUUGGACUCACCUUGGCUUUUGAAACUUAUGGGGUUUUACCCCAAACUUAGAAUUGCAACACAACUUACUAAUAUCAACUUGACUCCGAACAGGGUAAGGAAGUGUUUUGGCCGCGGGGUACAUUUACGGGGUUAAACAAACAAUGGAUACAGGCUCAAAUGGGGUUACCAAAGGAUAACAUUAACGAGAUGGCUAGAAAGGCUCAGGGGUAUAAUCAAACAACAUGCCCCAG
rnacentral:lncRNA from 1 species